UCGGGUAUAGGCUAACUAUUUCGCACUUGUUUUGGAUUUUUGUUUUUGGUUUUGGGUUUUUUUUUUUCAUAUUUGAAUAUUGUGUUUGUGUGCUUUUUGUUUUUUUAUGUAAGCCACCCAUUCAAGAAUUACACUAUACAUUCAAGCUUAAACACAAAGGUGGAUGACCCUAGCUUGCCUUGAUGAGCGAUUACGAUAUUCAGGGAAGUCCAGUAACCCUAGCAUGUUCAAUUAAUUU
rnacentral:lncRNA from 1 species